UACGUAGGGGGCUAGCGUUGUCCGGAAUUAUUGGGCGUAAAGAGCUCGUAGGCGGCUUGUCACGUCGGGUGUGAAAGACCGGGGCUUAACCCCGGUUCUGCAUUCGAUACGGGCUGGCUAGAGUGUGGUAGGGGAGAUCGGAAUUCCUGGUGUAGCGGUGGAAUGCGCAGAUAUCAGGAGGAACACCGGUGGCGAAGGCGGAUCUCUGGGCCAUUACUGACGCUGAGGAGCGAAAGCGUGGGGAGCGAACAGG
rnacentral:rRNA from 1 species